rnacentral:rRNA from 1 species
UGGGGAAUAUUGCACAAUGGGCGAAAGCCUGAUGCAGCGACGCCGCGUGAGGGAUGACGGCCUUCGGGUUGUAAACCUCUUUCAGCAUGGAAGAAGCGAAAGUGACGGUACCUGCAGAAGAAGCGCCGGCUAACUACGUGCCAGCAGCCGCGGUAAUACGUAGGGCGCAAGCGUUGUCCGGAAUUAUUGGGCGUAAAGAGCUCGUAGGCGGUUAGUCGCGUCUGCUGUGAAAACUCGAGGCUCAACCUCGGGCUUGCAGUGGGUACGGGCUGACUAGAGUGCGGUAGGGGUGACUGGAAUUCCUGGUGUAGCGGUGGAAUGCGCAGAUAUCAGGAGGAACACCGAUGGCGAAGGCAGGUCACUGGGCCGCAACUGACGCUGAGGAGCGAAAGCAUGGGGAGCGAACAGGAUUAGAUACCCUGGUAGUCCAUGCCGUAAACGUU